GACGGAAGGUGCAAGCGUUGCUCGGAAUCACUGGGCGUAAAGGGUGCGUAGGCGGCUUGGUAAGUCGGGUGUGAAAGCCCCGGGCUCAGCCUGGGAAGGGCACUCGAAACUGCCGAGCUGGAGUGCCGGAGGGGAGAGUGGAAUUCCCAGUGUAGAGGUGAAAUUCGUAGAUAUUGGGAAGAACACCGGUGGCGAAGGCGGCUCUCUGGACCGAGACUGACGCUGAGGCGCGAAAGCGUGGGGAGCAAACAGG
rnacentral:rRNA from 1 species